UGACUCCGACGGGUGAGUAACGCGUGAGAAUCAGGCUCUAGGUUCGGGACAACCACUGGAAACGGUGGCUAAUACCGGGUAUGCCGAGAGGUGAAAGGUUAACUGCCUGGAGAUGAGCUCGCGUCUGAUUAGCUAGUUGGUGGUGUAAGGGACUACCAAGGCGACGAUCAGUAGCUGGUCUGAGAGGAUGAUCAGCCACACUGGAACUGAGACACGGUCCAGACUCCUACGGGAGGCAGCAGUGGGGAAUUUUCCGCAAUGGGCGAAAGCCUGACGGAGCAAUACCGCGUGAGGGAGGAAGGCUCUUGGGUUGUAAACCUCUUUUCUCAGGGAAUAAGCAAGUGAAGGUACCUGAGGAAUCAGCAUCGGCUAACUCCGUGCCAGCAGCCGCGGUAAUACGGAGGAUGCAAGCGUUAUCCGGAAUGAUUGGGCGUAAAGCGUCCGUAGGUGGCUGUGUGUGUCUAUUGUUAAAGAGUUUGGCUCAACCAAAUAAGGGCGGUAGAAACUACACAGCUAGAGUGCGUUCGGGGCAGAGGGAAUUCCUGGUGUAGCGGUGAAAUGCGUAGAGAUCAGGAAGAACACCGGUGGCGAAAGCGCUCUGCUAGGCCGCAACUGACACUGAGGGACGAAAGCUAGGGGAGCGAAUGGGAUUAGAUACCCCCAGUAGUCAAUGA
rnacentral:rRNA from 1 species